GUCUGUGUGAGGUUAUAAUAUACAGUCUAACCUGCCCCCUGAAAGUUUUAAAGGGCCGCGGUAUUUGAACCGUGCUAAGGUAGCAUAAUAAAUAGUCUUUUAAUUGAGGUCUAGUAUGAAUGGUUGGACAUGAAGUAAGCUGUUUCAAUUAUAAAAUUUGAAUUUUACUUUUAAGUGAAAAGGCUUAAAUUAUAUGGGGGGACGAUAAGACCCUAUAAAGCUUUACAUUUUAUUUUUUAGUUUGAGAGUUUAAUGUUUUCUGUACUUGGUAAGUAAAGUGUUUCGUUGGGGCGACGUAAAUAUAAAAUAAUAACUGUUUUUUUUAAAAAAUAAAUUUUUUUAGGCGAGUUGAUCCUUUAUAUAGAUUAUGAGAAUUAAGUUACUUUAGGGAUAACAGCGUAAUUUUUCUUGAGAGUUCAUAUCGACAGAAAUAGUUGCGACCUCGAUGUUGAAUUAAGGUUUCCCCAGGGUGUAGCAGUUUUGGUGGUAGGUCUGUUCGACCUUUAAAAUCUU
rnacentral:rRNA from 1 species